UACGUAGGGUGCAAGCGUUUGUCCGGAAUUAUUGGGCGUAAAGAGCUCGUAGGCGGUGUGUCGCGUCGGCCGUGAAAACCUGCAGCUUAACUGUGGGCUUGCGGUCGAUACGGGCAUCACUGGAGUUCGGCAGGGGAGACUGGAAUUCCUGGUGUAGCGGUGAAAUGCGCAGAUAUCAGGAGGAACACCGGUGGCGAAGGCGGCCGACUGGGCCGACCCUGACGCUGAGGCGCGAAGGCGUGGGGAGCGAACGGG
rnacentral:rRNA from 1 species